AGACAACCUCUCCUACAUUGAGCACAUCUUUGAGAUCUCCCGCCGUCCUGACCUACUCACUAUGGUGGUUGACUACAGAACCCGUGUGCUGAAGAUCUCUGAGGAGGAUGAGCUGGACACCAAGCUAACCCGUAUCCCCAGUGCCAAGAAGUACAAAGACAUUAUCCGGCAGCCCUCUGAGGAAGAGAUCAUCAAAUUGGCUCCCCCACCGAAGAAGGCCUGAGCAAGGGGGAGGAAGAGGAGGAAGGUUGGACCUUCAUCAGACCACUCCCUUCCCCCAUCCUCCAGGAGAGGGGGCAAGGGCAACCCACCAUCUACCCACUUACUAACCUGGUCCUAACCCCCUUACUGUGCGCGUGUGUGUGCGUGUGCGCACGCUCUGGCUGUUUGUCUAUAUGUCUAGCUCAUCUAGUUCCUCUUCUUAAGGGGAUGGGGGUCAGGGGCUAGGGGAGGGGGCUGAGUUUCCCCACUUUAGGAGGAGGUGGGGGCUAUUUCUAUGCAAAUAGAAAUCAGCACAUUCCUCCUACUUCCCUUUCCUCCACUCCCCCCAUAUCUUUAAAGUGUGGAAGCAGAAAGGACCUGCAUUUUCCUACAUUGAGGAGCUGACAUAGGGGUAAGGUAUGGGAGAGGUAGGUGGAUCCAGGGAAAAGCAGUGGGGACGGAAGGCAAAGAGACCACUCAACCCCCACCUGGAAGGGGCAAAGAAAAGCCAGAGUUCCAUGUUUGUACUCCUGUGCUGGACUGUUUCCUGAGUACCAGCAGGUCCCUUUUUGUCUCUCAUGGGCCUAGCAUAGGUAUGAGCCAGGGAUCCUUUCCUGGUCCCUAAGAUCAAACCCCAUGGAGCAGCCAGCGUUAGAUGCCCCCACCCACCUGUACUCUGGAGAGACUGUGCUGGGAACAUGUACCACUGAGCCUGAGAUGGGGAUGAGGGCAGAGAGAGGGGAGCCCCCUCUUCCACUCAGUUGUUCCUACUCAGACUGUUGCACUCUAAACCUAGGGAGGUUGAAGAAUGAGACCCUUAGGUUUUAACACGAAUCCUGACACCACCAUCUAUAGGGUCCCAACUUGGUUAUUGUAGGCAACCUUCCCUCUCUCCUUGGUGAAGAACAUCCCAAGCCAGAAAGAAGUUAACUACAGUGUUUUCCUUUGCACCGAUCCCCACCCCAAUUCAAUCCCGGAAGGGACUUACUUAGGAAACCCUUCUUUACUAGAUAUCCUGGCCCCCUGGGCUUGUGAACACCUCCUAGCCACAUCACUACAGUACAGUGAGUGACCCCAGCCUCCUGCCUACCCCAAGAUGCCCCUCCCCACCCUGACCGUGCUAACUGUGUGUACAUAUAUAUUCUACAUAUAUGUAUAUUAAAACUGCACUGCCAUGUCUGCCCUUUUUUGUGGUGUCUAGCAUUAACUUAUUGUCUAGGCCAGAGCGGGGGUGGGAGGGGAAUGCCACAGUGAAGGGAGUGGCAGAAUCAAAUUGCUACAUAGUCC
rnacentral:lncRNA from 1 species